rnacentral:misc_RNA from 1 species
CGCAGGACCCUUUAUAUGGCUUUUCAAAGGAAGUAAAGGGCACCCACAAGCUUUUCUAAUUCCUUCCUCAUCCACAAAGCUAGAGUGAUAAACCAUUUCUUCUCCAAAAUAAUACGACUUCUUGAUCUCAAGAAUCAAUUUAGUGAAAAGUGCAGCCAAGUACACCUGAAAGGAUCAUCAUCAGAGCAGUGAAUUACGAUCUUAGAG